AUCUGUAGCUUCAAACUGGUCCGGGACAGGCCAUAGUCGGCAUGUGCUGUAUGUCAUGGUCUCUUGAUCGGGGGCAAUCUGUCAGCAUGAAACAUAAAGCUCAUGCCGCUAGGGUCAAUCCAGGCUCAGUUUGAACAAUGAU